rnacentral:rRNA from 1 species
GUCCACGCCGUAAACGAUGAAUGCCAGUCGUCGGGUAGCAUGCUAUUCGGUGACACACCUAACGGAUUAAGCAUUCCGCCUGGGGAGUACGGCCGCAAGGUUAAACUCAAAGGAAUUGACGGGGCCCGCACAAGCGGUGGAGCAUGUGGUUUAAUUCGAAGCAACGCGCAGAACCUUACCAACCCUUGACAUGGGUAUCGCGGCUCUGGAGACAGAGCCUUCAGUUCGGCUGGAUACCACACAGGUGCUGCAUGGCUGUCGU